GCAAUUUCCUGUAGAAGCUGUAGUGUGGUCUUCCCGGCAGAGUCCUUGUGAGAGACUUCGCAAGCCUAGCAUCAAUGGAUUUAUACUUGUUGAAGAGUUGGCCUGUGUGCAAGUGUCUGCUGUACAAGUUAUUGCAGUAUUGGAGUACCUCAUCAGGACUGAGUUUCCUAUUCUUCCAGCCUUUUAGUGCAUCAACAGAGGUGUGGAGGAAAGAUACAGAAAACCUGGAUUGAUCACAGCUGCCCUAAUGACAGAGGAAGCUGCUAAGAAGAACAAUUGGGCAGUAGGGGAAAAGUGUCGUUCCCCGAGUAGAAAACUCGAUUCUGGAAGAACGCCUUUUACUCCAGGGAGCGCAGUUGUCUUCAGUGGAGGCGUACCUUGUUGGAGUUGUUCUAGACAAGCUCAACACCAGAAUUCACUCAACUGGACCUGACUCCCCUCCUGUCUUGUGUCAGCUGAUGUAAAAUCAGGAACAUCUCUACUGAAGGCAAGUCAGUUAUGCUGUGUAGAAGAGGUGAAGCUCAAUUAAGACUGUCUUCUUGAGAAUGAAUAAUGGUUUCGCAAGAGCUGUCCUUCAUCUACAAUGGACUUCAUGGCUAAAGCAAGGAACAGUUCUCUUUCAAAUCACAGCUGCAUCAGAAAUUUGUUUUACAGUGUAAGAACUAUGAAAGACAUAAAUUCAGUUCUCUGUCUUGCUGAUACUGCCAGGCUGUCCCAGAUUGCUCAAGACAUAUAAAAUGAAUAAAAGGCAUUUGGGGGGUUAUGAAGCUAUAUUAGUCAUUGCGUCAUAGGAACCUCUUCAUUGUGUGCAGUACAAGGCUUGGGUGCAGGUUCUUUUGAUGUGCUAAAUACCUUCUGCCUUUGUCCUUAUACACCUUUCCAAAUUCUGCUGCUUUACUUCCUUUCUCCCCAACUAUCUGGUUUUUUUGUGCUGGCUUUGUAUUGCAUGUGCUUGGAGCAGAUUUGAGCAUUCCAGUGAAGCUGAUUGUUUCACUUCUGUGAACUUAUUUCUGUUCUAUUAUAUUAGUAUCCUGUUUUUGCUGAGCAAAGCAGCACAGCAGGUCCAGCAGCUGCCAGUGGUACAGAACAUGCCAGACCAAACCAAGAGCAGCUGUUUCUCUUUUUCCUAGGUUUGAUGUGGGUUCAGUGUCAAUUUUUUAUGUCUUUCCUGAUAUUUUUUUCUUCCUAACCAAGAAAAUCUUUGAGAGAUAAUAAAUGAGACUUGAAAGUGA